GGGCCCGCACAAGCGGUGGAGCAUGUGGUUUAAUUCGAUGAUACGCGAGGAACCUUACCAGGGCUUAAAUGUAGAGCGACAGAGGUGGAAACACCUCCUUCUUCGGACGGUCUACAAGGUGCUGCAUGGUUGUCGUCAGCUCGUGCUGUGAAGUGUCGGGUUAAGUCCCAUAACGAGCGCAACCCCUAUUUCUAGUUGCCAGCGGUUCGGCCGGGGACUCUAGAGAAACUGCCAGCGUAAGCUGUGAGGAAGGUGGGGAUGACGUCAAAUCAUCACGGCCCUUACGUCCUGGGCCACACACGUGCUACAAUGGUGGAGACAGAGAGUUGCCAACCCGCGAGGGUGAGCUAAUCUUCAAACUCCAUCUCAGUUCGGAUCGCAGUCUGCAACUCGACUGCGUG
rnacentral:rRNA from 1 species